CCUACGGGGUGCAGCAGUGGGGAAUAUUGGACAAUGGGCGAAAGCCUGAUCCAGCCAUGCCGCGUGUGUGAAGAAGGCCUUCGGGUUGUAAAGCACUUUCAGUGGGGAAGAAAGCCUUGGGGCUAAUACCCUCGAGGAAGGACAUCACCCACAGAAGAAGCACCGGCUAACUCCGUGCCAGCAGCCGCGGUAAUACGGAGGGUGCGAGCGUUAAUCGGAAUUACUGGGCGUAAAGCGCGCGUAGGCGGUCUGAUAAGCCGGUUGUGAAAGCCCCGGGCUCAACCUGGGAACGGCAUCCGGAACUGUCAGGCUAGAGUGCAGGAGAGGAAGGUAGAAUUCCCGGUGUAGCGGUGAAAUGCGUAGAGAUCGGGAGGAAUACCAGUGGCGAAGGCGGCCUUCUGGACUGACACUGACGCUGAGGUGCGAAAGCGUGGGUAGCAAACAGGAUUAGAUACCCUGGUGUC
rnacentral:rRNA from 1 species